GGCCGCGGGAAUUCGAUUCAGGCCUAACACAUGCAAGUCGAGCGGUAAGGCCUUUCGGGGUACACGAGCGGCGAACGGGUGAGUAACACGUGGGUGAUCUGCCCUGCACUCUGGGAUAAGCUUGGGAAACUGGGUCUAAUACCGGAUAUGACCGCAUGCCGCAUGGUGUGUGGUGGAAAGAUUUAUCGGUGCAGGAUGGGCCCGCGGCCUAUCAGCUUGUUGGUGGGGUAAUGGCCUACCAAGGCGACGACGGGUAGCCGACCUGAGAGGGUGACCGGCCACACUGGGACUGAGACACGGCCCAGACUCCUACGGGAGGCAGCAGUGGGGAAUAUUGCACAAUAGGCGGAAGCCUGAUGCAGCGACGCCGCGUGAGGGAUGAAAGGGUUCGGGUUGUAAACCUCUUUCAGCAGGGACGAAGCGUGAGUGACGGUACCUGCAGAAGA
rnacentral:rRNA from 1 species